rnacentral:rRNA from 1 species
AUUGAACGCUGGCGGCAUGCUUUACACAUGCAAGUCGAACGGCAGCGGGGAGGAGCUUGCUUCUCUGCCGGCGAGUGGCGAACGGGUGAGUAAUACAUCGGAACGUGUCGAGAAGAGGGGGAUAACCACCCGAAAGGGUGGCUAAUACCGCAUAAAUUCUGAGGAAGAAAGCUGGGGACCUAGGAAUAGGCCUAGCGCUUUUUGAGCGGCCGAUGUCGGAUUAGCUAGUUGGUGAGGUAAAGGCUCACCAAGGCGAAGAUCUGUAGCGGGUCUGAGAGGAUGAUCCGACACACUGGGACUGAGACACGGCCCAGACUCCUACGGGAGGCAGCAGUGGGGAAUUUUGGACAAUGGGGGCAACCCUGAUCCAGCCAUGCCGCGUGUAUGAAGAAGGCCUUAGGGUUGUAAAGUACUUUUGUUAGGGAAGAAAAGUCAGCUGUGAAUAAAGGCUGAUAAUGACGGUACCUAAAGAAUAAGCAACGGCUAACUACGUG